GGUUGCGAUCAUACCAGCACUAAUGCACCGGAUCCCAUCAGAACUCCGCAGUUAAGCGUGCUUGGGCGAGACUAGUACUAGGAUGGGUGACCCCCUGGGAAGUCCUCGUGUUGCAACCC
rnacentral:rRNA from 1 species